rnacentral:rRNA from 1 species
CACGGAGUUAGCCGAUGCUUUUUCUUCGGGUACUCUCAAUACGACUCCGCAGAGCCUUUUUGCUCCCCGACAAAAGAGGUUUACAAUCCUUAGGACAUUCUUCCCUCACGCGACUUGGCUGGUUCAGCCUCUCGGCCAUUGACCAAUAUUCCUCACUGCUGCCUCCCGUAGGAGUCUGGUCCGUGUCUCAGUACCAGUGUGGGGGGCCUUCCUCUCAGAACCCCUACGCAUCGUCGGCACGGUGGGCCGUUACCCCGCCGUCUACCUAAUGCGACGCAUGUCCAUCCUAUGCCGGAUCUCUCCUUUAACCUCCCAGAAAUGCUCCCAAAAGGUGUUACGCGGUAUUAGGCCGGAUUUCUCCGAGUUAUCCCCCUGCAUAGGGCAGGUUACAUACGUGUUACUCACCCGUGCGCCGGUCGCCGGCAGGCAUAUUGCUACGCCCCCGCUGCCCCUCGACUUGCAUGUGUUAAGCCUGUCGCUAGCGUUCAUCCUGAGCCAGGAUCAAACUCU